GACGUAGGGUGCAAGCGUUGUCCGGACUUAUUGGGCGUAAAGAGCUCGUAGGCGGCUUGUUGCGUCGACUGUGAAAACCCGCGGCUUAACCGCGGGCUUGCAGUUGAUACGGGCAGGCUAGAGUUCGGUAGGGGAGACUGGAAUUCCUGGUGUAGCGGUGAAAUGCGCAGAUAUCAGGAGGAACACCGGUGGCGAAGGCGGGUCUCUGGGCCGAUACUGACGCUGAGGAGCGAAAGCGUGGGGAGCGAACAGG
rnacentral:rRNA from 1 species